rnacentral:rRNA from 1 species
GACGAACGCUGGCGGCGUGCUUAACACAUGCAAGUCGAACGGAAAGGCCCUGCUUUUGUGGGGUGCUCGAGUGGCGAACGGGUGAGUAACACUUAGGUAACCUGCCCUUGCCUUUGGGAUAACUUCAGGAAACUGGGGCUAAUCCCGGAAAGGAGCUCCUGCUGCCUGGUGGGGGUUGGAAAGUUUCGGCGGUUGGGGAUGGACUCGCGGCUUAUCAGCUUGUUGGUGGGGUGGUGGCUUACCAAGGCUUUGACGGGUAGCCGGCCUGAGAGGGUGACCGGCCACAUUGGGACUGAGAUACGGCCCAGACUCCUACGGGAGGCAGCAGUGGGGAAUAUUGCACAAUGGGCGGAAGCCUGAUGCAGCAACGCCGCGUGCGGGAUGACGGCCUUCGGGUUGUAAACCGCUUUCGCCUGUGACGAAGCGUGAGUGACGGUAAUGGGUAAAGAAGCACCGGCUAACUACGUG